rnacentral:lncRNA from 1 species
UCCUCAUACUUUUUCACUGUAAUAUCCAUGCUAGUUUAUUUUCCUUUUUAUGCUUUCUUCUUGUGUGUUUGAUAAACCUUAAGAAAAACAAAAAAAAUUAGUAGUAGCUUUUAGCUAGUUUACUUUUCUUGCUGUAGUAGUAGUAAUUAAAAAGAAAACCCAAAAAUAUUUCUUGUUCUUCUUUUGCUUGUUGGGAGCUUUCCCGUGUAAAUAGUUUUAUUUCUUUUCUUUGGGGGUCGAUAGGAGAAGACCAUAAUGAAAUUGUUGAAAUGGCUCUUAUAUGCAUUAUUGUUGAUUUAACCAAGAGCCCAUAUUGCCUUGUCUUCUCCUGUUUGUUGAAUGCUCGCAGAUUCCAGCUUAGUCCAAUGCACGUGCACUAUUAUUAUUAUUCACAUCGUUCGGUCGUGCAAGUGAAAGGCAAUUAUGAUGAUAUAUGAUAAACUGACUGAGAUGGGAGAAGCUGGUAUGAACUCGACCUCUCUUGUUUUUGUAAAUAUGAUUAGUUCAUCGUUCCUGAUUCAGCUUAUUAUGAAUAAACAUGUUUGCAAUGACAAUUAGAGAUUAUAGUUACUUAUGCCAUGCUUAAUUAGCUAGGAGCUUAUAAUGGUUUACCUUGCAUGCCAACAUGCUAUUAAAAUGGUUGUGAUGUGGUAUGAUGGGGUGGUAUCCUCCUUUGAAUGAUUUAAGUGACUUGACUUGGCACAUGUUCACGCAUGUAGUUGAAACAAAAUCAACAUAGCCUUCACGAUAUUUAUGUUCAUGGUGGAUUAUAUCCUACUCACGCUUGCACUCAAUGCUCAUUAAUUUUAAUGCAUGUUCACGACUGUUGUCGCUCUCUAGUUGGUCGCUUCCCAGUCUUUUGCUAGCCUUCACUUGUACUAAGCGGGGAUACUGCUUGUGCAUCCAAUCCCUUAAACCCCAAAGUUAUUCCAUAUGAGUCCACUAUACCUUCCUACAUGUGGUAUCUACCUGCCAUUCCAAGUAAUUUGUAUGUGCCAAACUCUAAACCUUUAAAUAAAAUUCUAUUUUGUAUGCUCGAAUAGCUCAUGUAUCAACUAGGGCUGUCUGUAUCUUCCAUGUUAGGCGGGUUAUUCUCAAGAGGAGUGGACUCCGCUCCUCACUCACGAGAAAAUGGCUGGUCACCGGGAUGCCCGGUCCCAUGCUUUAUGCAAAUCAAAUCAAAAUAGUUACAAACAAAACUCCCCCGGGGCUGUUGUUAGUUGGAGGCACUCAUUGUUUAGAGCCAGCCAUGGGUUGAUGCUUGUAGGUGGAGGGGGAGUAUAAACUUUACCAUUCUGUUUGGGAACCGCGUAUAAUGUGUGUAGCAUGGAAGAUAUCGCCCUCUCUUGCUUGUUCUGUUGACAAUGAAAGUAUGCCUCUCAGAAUAUUAUUUAUCUCUGCUUUAAAAUUAAGCUCUGGCACCUCUACAAAUCCCUGCUUCCCUCUAUGAAGGGCCUAUCCAUUUACUUUUAUGUUGAGUCAUCACCCUCUUAUUAAAAAGCACCAGCUAGAGAGCACCGCUGUCAUUUGCAUCCAUUACUAUUAAUUUAUAUUGGGUAUGACUAUGACUGGAUCUCUUUUACCAUGAAUUACAAUGUUUAGUGAGUCCUUGAUCUUUAAAGGUGCUCUGCAUUUAUGUUUUGCAGUCUCAGAAAGGGCUAGCGAGAUACCAUCUUGUUAUAUCAUAGCAUGAUUGUUUUGAGAAAGUGUUGUCGUCUGAGAUUUAUUAUUAUUGCUCGCUAGUUGAUUAUGCCAGUGACAUGAGUAAACAUGAGACCUAAGUGUUAUUGUGAAUAUGGUUAGUCAUAAUCUUUGUUGAAAGCUUGAAUGCUGGUUUUACAUAUCUAGAACAACAAGAGCAAACAGAGUUUGUAAAAGUUUUUCUUUAUCACUUUCAGUUUAUCAACUGAAUUGCUUGAGGACAAGUAAAGGUUUAAGCCUGGGGGAGUUGAUACGUCUCCGUCGUAUCUACUUUUCCAAACACUUUUGCCCUUGUUUUGGACUCUAACUUGCAUGAUUUGAACGGAACUAACCCGGACUGAUGUUGUUUUCAGCAGAAUUGCCAUGGUGUUAUUUAUGUGCAGAAACAAAAGUUCUCGGAAUGACCUGAAACUUCACGGAGAUUAUUUUUGGAGAAUAUAAAAAAUAUUGCCGAAAGAAUCAAGGCCAGGGGGGCCACACCCUUGCCACGAGGGUGGGGGGCGCGCCCCCUUGCCUCAUGGGCCCCCUGGUGCUCCACCGACCUCAACUCCAACUCCAUAUAUUCGUGUUCGGGGAGAAAAAAAUCAAAGAGAAAGAAUCAUCACGUUAUACGACACGGAGCCGCCGCCAAGCCCUAAACUCUCUCGGGAGGGCUGAUCUGGAGUCCGUUCGGGGCUCCAGAGAGGGGAAUCCGUCGCCAUCGUCAUCAUCAACCUUCCUCCAUCACUAAUUUCAUGAUGCUAACCGCCGUGCGUGAGUAAUUCCAUCGUAGGCUUGCUGGACGGUGAUGGGUUGGAUGAGAUUUAUCAUGUAAUCGAGUUAGAUUUGUUAGGGUUUGAUCCCUAGUAUCCACUAUGUUCUGAGAUUGAUGUUGCUAUUGUUGGGAACGUAGCAAUAAUUCAAAAUUUUCUUACGUGUCACCAAGAUCAAUCUAGGAGAUGCUAGCAACGAGAGAGAGGGAGUGCAUCUUCAUACCCUUGAAGAUCGCUAAGCGGAAGCGUUACAAGAACGCGGUUAAUGGAGUCGUACUCACAGCGAUUCAAAUUGCGGAAGUUCCGAUCUAGUGCCGAACGGACGGCGCCUCCGUGUUCAACACACGUACAGCCCGGGGAUGUCUCCUCCUCCCUCAUCCAGCAAGGGGAGAGGAGAAGUUGAGGGAGAACUCCAGCAGCACGACGGCGUGGUGGCAAUGGAGCUCGUGGUUCUCCGGCAGGGCUUCGCCAAGCACUAUGGAGGAGGAGGAGGUGUAUGAGGAAGGAGGGCUGCGCCAGGGAAGAGGUGUGGCUGCCCUCCCACCCCUCCACUAUAUAUAGGGGCAAGGGGAGAGGGACAGGCGCCCUAGGGUUUCCCCUAGGGGCGCCGACCAAGCAGAUUGAAUCUCCCUAGGGAAAAUCCUAGGGAGACUUGCCCCCCAAGCCAAGCAGGUGGAGGCUUGCCUCCCAAGCCAGGUGGAGGCGCCCCACCUCCCCAAGUAAUGUGGGAAAGGGUGUGGGGGGGGGAACCACCCCUUAGUGGGCUGGUUUGCCCCUUCCCCUUUGGCCCAUGAGGCCCUCCAACACUUGCAGGGGCUCCCGAAACACCUUUCGGUCAUGUUGGCCAUAGCCUGGUACCCCCGGAACACUUCCGGACUCCAAUACCCUUCGUCCAAUAUAUCGAUCUUCACCGCCGGACCAUUCCGGAACUCCUCGUGAUGUCCGGGAUCUCAUCCGGGACUCCGAACAACCUUCGGUAACCACAUACUAUUUCCCAUAACAACUCUAGCGUCACCGAACCUUAAGUGUGUAGACCCUAUGGGUUCGGGAACCAUGUAGACAUGACCGAGACACCUCUCCAGCCAAUAACCAAUAGCGGGAUCUGGAUACCCAUAUUGGCUCCCACAUGUUCCACGAUGACCUCAUCGGAUGAACCACGAUGUCGGGGAUUCAAUCAAUCCCGUAUUCAAUUCCCUUUGUCUAUCGGUAUGUUACUUGACCGAGAUUCGAUCGUCGGUAUCCCCAUACCUCGUUCAAUCUUGUUACCGGCAAGUCUCUUUACUCGUUCCGUAACGCAUGAUCCCGUGGCUAACUCAUUAGUCACAUUGAGCUCAUUAUGAUGAUGCAUUACCGAGUGGGCCCAGAGAUACCUCUCCGUCAUACGGAGUGACAAAUUCCAGUCUCGAUUCGUGCCAACUCAACAGACACUUUCGGAGAUACCUGUAGUGCACCUUUAUAGCCACCCAGUUACGUUGUGACGUUUGGUACACCCAAAGCAUUCCUACGGUAUCCGGGAGUUGCACAAUCUCAUGGUCUAAGGAAACGAUACUUGACAUUAGAAAAGCUCUUAGCAAACAAACUACAUGAUCUUGUGCUAUGCUUAGGAUUGGGUCGUGUCCAUCACAUCAUUCUCCUAAUGAUGUGAUCCCGUUAUCAAUGACAUCCAAUGUCCAUGGUCAGGAAACCAUAACCAUCUAUUGAUCAACGAGCUAGUCAACUACAGGCUUACUAGGGUCAUGUUAUGGUCUAUGUAUUCACACAUGUAUUAUGGUUUCUAGUUAAUACAUUUAUAGCAUGAACAAUAGACAAUUAUCAUGAACAAGGAAAUACAAUAAUAACCAUUUUAUUAUUGCCUCUAGGGCAUAUUUCCAACAGUCUCCCACUUGCACUAGAGUCAAUAAUCUAGUUCACAUCACUAUGUGAUUGUAAUGAAUCCAACACCCAUGCGGUUUGUUCAUAUCUCGCUUGUGAGAGAGGUUACUAGUUAACGGGUCUGAACCUUUCAGAUCCGUGUGUGCUUUACAAAUAUCUAUGUCAUCUUGUAGAUGCAGCUACCACCUGCUACUUAGAGCUAUUCCAAAUAACUGCUCUACUAUACGAAUCUGGUUUACUACUCAGAAUCAUCCGGAUUAGUGUCAAAGUUUGCAUCGACGUAACCCUUUACGACGAACUCCUUUUCCACCUCCAUAAUCGAGAAAAUUCCUUAGUCCACUAGAUACUAAGGAUAAGUUCGACCGCUGUCAUGUGAUCCAUUCCCGGAUCACUAUUGUACCCCUCGACUAACUCAUGGCAAGGCACACUUCCGGUGCGGUACACAGCAUAGCAUACUGUAGAGCCUACGUCUUAAGCAUAGGGGACGACCUUCGGCCUUUCUCUCUCUUCUGCCGUGGUCAGGUCUUGAGUCUUACUCAAUACUCACACCUUGUAACACAGCCAAGAACUCCUUCUUUGCUGAUCUAUUUUGAACUCCUUCAAAAUCUUGUCACGGUAUGUAUUCAUUUGAAAGUACUAUCAAGCGUUUUUGAUCUAUCCUUAUAGAUCUUGAUGCUCAAUGUUCAACUAGCUUAAUCCAGGUUUUCCAUUGAAAAACACUUUUCAAAUAACCCUGUAUGCUUUCCAGAAAUUCUAUAUCAUUUCUGAUCAACAAUAUGUUAACAACAUAUACUCAUCAAAAAUUCUAUAGUGCUCCCUCACUUCUUUGGAAAUACAAGUUUCUCAUAAACUUUGUAUAAACCCAAAAUCUUUGAUCAUCUCAUCAAAGCGUACAUUCCAUCUCCGAGAUGCUUACUCCAGUCCUUAGAAGGAUUGCUGGAGCUUUGCAUACUUGUUAGCAUAUUUCAGGAUUGACAAAACCUUCUGGUUGUAUCACAUACAACCUUUCCUCAAGAAAAUCAUCGAGGAAACAAUGUUUUGACAUCCUAUCUGCAAGAUUUCAUAAAUAAUGCAGUAACUGCUAAUAUAAUUCCAACAGACUCUUAGCAUCGCUACGAGUGAGAAAGUCUCAUCGCAGUCAACUCCUUGAACUUGCCGGAAAACAUCUUAACGACAAGUCGAGCUUUCUUAAUGGUGACACUUACCAUCAUUGUCCGUCUUCCUUUUAAAAUCCAUCUGUACCCAACAGCCUUACGACCAUCAAGUAGUUCUUCCAAAGUCUAUACUUUGUUUUUUUUAUAUAUGGAUCCUCUCUCGGAUUUUAUGGCCUCGAGCCAUUCGUCGGAAUCCGGGCCCACCAUCACUUCUCCAUAGCUCGUAGGUUCAUUGUUAUCUAGCAACAUGUCUUCCAAGACAGGAUUAUGUACCACUCUGAAGUAGUACGCAUCCUUGUCGACCUAUGAGGUUUUGUAGUGAAUUGAUCCGAAGUUUCAUGAUCACUAUCAUAAGCUUCCACUUCAAUUGGUGUAGGUGCCACAGGAACAACUUCCUGUGCCCUGCUACACACUAGUUGAAGUCAUGGUUCAAUAACCUCAUCAAGUCUCCACCAUCCUCCCACUCAAUUCUUUCGAGAGAAACUUUUCCUCGAGAAAGGACAUGUUUCUAGAAACAAUCACUUUGCUUCCGGAUCUGAAAUAGGAGGUAUACCCAACUGUUUUUGGGUAUUCUAUGAAGAUGCAUUUAUCCGCUUUGGGUUCGAGCUUAUCAGCCUGAAACUUUUCCACAUAAGCGUCGCAGCCCCAAACUUUUGAGAAACGACAGCUUAGGUUUCUCUAAACCAUAGUUCAUAUGGUGUCGUCUCAACGGAAUUGCGUGGUGCCCUAUUUAAAGUGAAUGCGGUUUUCUCUAAUGCCUAACCCAUAAACGAUAGUGGUAAUUCGAUAAGAGACAUCAUGGUAUGCACCAUAUCCAAUAGGGUGCAGUUAUGAUGUUCGGACACACCAUCACACUAUGGUGUUCCAGGCGGUAUUAAUUGUGAAACACUUUCCACAAUGUCUUAAUUGUGUGCCAAACUCGUAACUCAGAUAUUCAUCUCUAUGAUCAUAUCAUAGACAUUUUAUCCUCUUGUCACGACGAUCUUCAACUUCACUCUAAAAUCACUUGAACCUUUCAAUAAUUCAGACUUGUGUUUCAUCAAGUAAAUACACUCAGCAUCUACUCAAAUCAUCUGUGAAGUAAGAACAUAAUGAUAUCCACUGCAUGCCUCAGCACUCAUUGGACUGCACACAUCAAAAUGUAUUACUUCCAACAAGUUGCUUUCUUGUUCCAUCUUACUGAAAACGAGGCCUUUCAGUCAUCUUGCCCAUGUGGUAUGAUUUUCAUGUCUCAAGUGAUUCAAAAUCAAGUGAGUCCAAACGAUCCAUCUGCAUGGAGUUUCUUCAUGCAUAUAUACCAAUAGACAUGGUUCGCAUGUCUCAAUCUUUUCAAAAACGAGUCCAAAGAUCCAUCUACAUGGAGCUUCUUCAUGCGUUCUAUACCAAUAUGACUCAAAUGGCAGCGCCACAAGUAUGUGGUACUAUCAUUACUAUUUUAUAUCUUUUGGCACGAACAUGUGUAUCACUACGAUCGAGAUUCAUUUCAGGUGCAAGACCAUUGAAGGUAUUAUUCAAAUAAACAGAGUAACCAUUAUUCUCCUUAAAUGAAUUACCGUAUUGCGAUAAACAAAAUCCAAUCAUGUCUAUGCUCAAUGCAAACACCAAAUAACAAUUAUUUAGGUUUAACACCAAUCUCAAUGGUAGAGGGAGCGUGCGAUGUUUGAUCACAUCAACCUUGGAAACACUUCCAACACAUAUCGUCAUCUCACCUUUAGUUAGCCCCCAUUUAUUCCGUAGCUUUUAUUUCGAGUUACCAACACUUAGCAACCGAACCGGUACCUAAUACCCUGGUGCUACUAGGAGUACUAGUAAAGUACACAUUAAUAUAAUGUAUAUCCAAUAUACUUUUGUCGACCUUGCCUUACUUCUCAUCUACUAAGUAUCUAGGGUAGUUCUGCUUCAGUGACCGUUCCCCUUAUUACAGAAGCACUUAGUCUCGGGUUUGGGUUCUACCUUGGGUUUCUUCCCUGGAGCAGCAACUGAUUUGCCGUUUCAUGAAGUAUCCCUUUUUGCCCUUGCCCUUCUUGAAACUAUGUAGCGACCAGACCUCAAAUGGUCUGUGCUGCUGUGCACCAGUGUCAUCCCUAGAUCAGUAAUGCUGACACGCACAGUACAAAUGGAGGAUUUAUAACAGAGUAGCAAUCACACACUCAUUACAUCGAAUAUCUCCAAAGAGAUUAAGUAUGAUAAACAUGGCUUAAGGCCAUCUAAUAACGAUAACAGCGGAAGACAUGGAAGAUAAGUGAGUCCAUCAACUCCAGCGGCAUCACUGAGUAUAAGACCACGACCUAAGGCACCUUACUCAUCGUCUGAAACGUCUGCAACAUGAAACGUUGCAGCUCGAAAACGGGUCAGCACAUAGGAUAUGCUGGCAAUGUAACACAUAGAGAGUAAUGAACAAUGACAAUGCUAUACUACAUGCAUAUAUGGCUGGUGGAAAGCUCUAUGGUUACAGUUUUGCGAAAAGCCAAUUUUAUCCUACUUCAAAGGAAUAAAUUUUAUUUAACUAUCAUGGUGGUUGUGAAACAUUGAGAUGGUUGACAGCAUCUCAAUCCCAAUUAAAUGUCAUCAAUAACCCAACAAAAUUAAUUAGAAGUAACAUAAUGAUGAGAUUCACAUGAUAAUCCAAGUACUAGAUACUCAAGUUGUCCAUAACCGGGGACACGGCUAACCAUGAUUAGUUUGUACACUCUGCAGAGGUUUGUGCACUUUUCCCCACAAGACUUGAUCUCCUCCGUUGAAUUACUCGCACUACAUGGUGUUUGAGUAACGGAUGACCAAGACACAGUCUUUUAGAAGUGUUUGCACCUUACGUAUGGGUAGACAGUUACACCUACUUUCCCCUACAUCUGCUAGUCUACCACUGUAAGAGUUCACACAACUUAGUCAACUAUGCUAGAGCUCAUAAUAGCUUGCGGCUGCACACGGAAGUUUCUAGCAUGAAUAAUCUUAUGAUCCCUUUGAACCUGAGUGGCGGUCCAAAAGAAAAACAGGCAAUCCUGGAAUACCCAGGUACCUCAAUCCACCCAGAUGUGAGUUUUAGUUGCCACCUUAAGUAGACCAUUAAUUAACAAUCUCACAUCUGUCAUGAAAAUCUCUCAAACCCAAUCCACGUCUACGGGCAUAGCAUGGCAAUAAUAAUAGCAAACGUAGAAGUAACUCCCAAGGGUUUGAUAAUAAUACAGGUAAUAGGUUCUACCUCAACUACUUCCCAAAACCCACAAUUUAAUUAGAUCCUAAUCAUGCAAGUGUUUGAGGAAAACAGAUCUAAUGCAAUAAAAACUGGGUAUGGAAGGAAUAUGAUCAAAGUGUUACUUGCCUUGCUGAUGAUCCGCAAAACCUAGCGAUUCGAAGUAACAAGCGGCACACUCCGGGUACUCUAUCGCAAACAAACAAGCAUACAAUCAGUACUCAUCUAAUGCACAGGUAAAACUCGAAUGAAAGAUCCAACAGAAAGUUCAAUUUAAGAACUCCGGUUUGCAAAAAGAAUCAACUCGAAAGAAGCAACGAAAGUCAAACGGCGAAAGAAAAUAGCUUCCUUUACUAAUCUGGAUCUAGGUCAAAUUUUACUGUAGCAAAAACUUGUUUGAGUAGGUUAAACGGAAAGAGAAUUUCGAGAUGAAACUCUAGGCGCUUGAAUCGCAUGAUUCCGAUAAACGAGCGAGAAGUUAAACAGAAACGAAGGUUCGAUCAGAAAUCGAAUCUGAGAAAAAUAGCGGAAAAUCCGACGAAAAAGAAAAACGGAUGAACGGUUAAAGAACGGACGUUCGUUAACAGAGAAAAACCGAUGAACGCUCGCAAAAUAAUAAAACAAAAAAAAAACGAUCUAGGGUUUUUUUUAAACGAAGGGUUUUUUUAACAAAAACCGGCAAAGUCGAACGGGGCAGCGAGGCAGUACCUCGUCGGGNNNNNNNNNNNNNNNNNNNNNNNNNNNNNNNNNNNNNNNNNNNNNNNNNNNNNNNNNNNNNNNNNNNNNNNNNNNNNNNNNNNNNNNNNNNNNNNNNNNNNNNNNNNNNNNNNNNNNNNNNNNNNNNNNNNNNNNNNNNNNNNNNNNNNNNNNNNNNNNNNNNNNNNNNNNNNNNNNNNGAGGGGCGGCGGCUCCGGCGACGAACGCGGCGGCGGCGGCGAGGCGAGUGCAGGCGGCGGCGGCGACUUGAUGAGAGGAGGGAGAGAGGGGGUAUAAAUAGGAAGGGGGGCAGCAGCUUGGGGGAGGGGGCAAGGUGCGGCGGCGGGGCUUCCCGUGUCCGCCAUGGACACGGCGAUGGCGGCGUCGUGCGGGGAGAGGAGAGGGGCGCGGGUGGGCCGGUGGCCUGGGCUCGGCCCAGCGGGCGCGCGCGUCCUUUUUUUUUUAAAUAAGUUCCGCGGAAAAUAAUUCACAGAAAAAUAAAUAAAAAAUCAGAAAAAUAUAAAAUAAAUUUUCCCCAUCUAGUUAGAAAAUCUAGAAUAGGGUGAACAUUUUUGUAACACAAAAUAAAUAUUUUGAAAACAUGCAAUAUUUUUAAUGCAAUAAAAAUUGCAAAUAAAAUCCAAAAAAUUCCAAUAAAUGAUUUUAACAUUUUUCCUCCAGUAUUUCAAUUGUUUUGGAGAAGUCAUAUUUUCUCCUCUCGUUUAUUUUUAAAAUGAAAUAUUUUCCGGAGAGAAAAUAAUUAAAACCAAAAUCCUCGUCUUAUUAUUUGUGAAAAUCAAAUAUGAAAAUUUUGAGAAAAAUCCCCAACUCUCUCCGAGGGUCCUUGAGUUGCUUAGGAUUUAUCGAGGAUUUGUCAAAAUGCGAUAAAACAUGAUAUGCAAUGAUGAUCUAUGUAUAACAUUCCAAAUUGAAAAUUUGGGAUGUUACAAACCUACCCCCCUUAAGAUGAAUCUCGCCCUCGAGAUUCGGGUUGGCUAGAAAACAGGUGGGAGUGGUCUUUCCGUAGAUCUUCCUCUCGCUCCCAGGUGGCUUCAUCCUCCGUGUGGUGACUCCACUGGACUUUGCAAAACUUGAUAACCUUGCUGCGGGUAACUCGGCUGGCAUACUCAAGAAUCUUAACUGGCUUCUCCUCAUAAGUCAAAUCACUUUCCAGCUGAAUCGCUUCCAGUGGCACAGUAUCUCUCAGUGGUAUCUCAGCCAUCUCUGCGUGGCACUUCUUCAACUGCGAAACGUGAAAUACAUCAUGAACUCCAGACAAUCCUUUGGGCAAUUCCAGCUUGUAGGCAACCUCUCCCAUACGUUCCAAAACUCUGUAUGGUCCGAUAAAACGGGGUGCUAACUUUCCCUUAACUCCAAAGCGCUUCACUCCUCGAAGGGGUGAUACUCGAAGAUAUACUCGGUCUCAGACUUCGUGAACUGUCUCUUUUCGUUUAGAAUCAGCAUAACUCUUCUGCCUGGACUAGGCUACCUUGAGCCUAUCGCGAAUCAACCUCACUUUCUGUUCAGACUCCUUAAUCAAAUCUGGUCCAAACAACUGACGGUCUCCAACUUCGUCCCAUAACAACGGCGUUCUACACCUCCUUCCGUACAAAGCUUCAAAAGGGGCCAUCUUCAAACUGGUUUGAUAACUGUUGUUAUAAGAAAACUCCGCAUAUGGUAAAUUGUCUUCCCAACUAGAUCCAUAAUCUAGUGCACAUGCUCUCAACAUGUCCUCCAAAAUCUGGUUGACUCUCUCUGUCUGUCCAUCUGUCUGUGGGUGGAAUGCUGUACUAAAUGCCAGCUUGGUUCCCAAUGUUUCAUGUAACUGCUUCCAAAACUUCGAGGUAAAUUGGGUUCCUCUAUCAGAUACAAUGGUCCUCGGUACUCCAUGCAAACAUACGAUCCUGGUCAUGUAUAUCUUUGCCAACUUAGCACUGGUGUAAGUGGUCUUUACUGGAAUGAAAUGAGCCACUUUCGUCAAUCGGUCAACUACAACCCAUAUUGAGUCAUAGCCUGAACGAGUCCUGGGUAAUCCUGUGAUAAAAUCCAUGCCUAUUUUAUCCCACUUCCAUUCGGGUAUCGGCAAUGGUUGUAGCAAUCCUGCUGGCUUCUGAUGAUAUGCCUUCACUCUCUGACACACAUCACAAACUGCUACAUACUCUGCAAUAUCCUUCUUCAUUCCGGUCCACCAGAAAGUAUUCUUCAAAUCCAAAUACAUCUUGGUAUUCCCUAGGUGAAUCGAGUACGGUGAAUCAUGGGCUUCUUGCAAAAUCAACUUCCUGAUCUCCGGAUCAUUUGGCACAUAUACGCGGUCCUCGAACCAUAAGGUAUCGUGCUCAUCCUCACGAAAUCCCUUGGCUUUUCCUGUCCUCAUCUUCUCCUUUAUCUCUUCAAUCCCCUUGUCUGUCUUCUGAGCUUCUCUGAUCCUUUCCAUCAAGGUAGACUGAAUCUCCAAUGUCGCUAAAUAGCCUCUUGGGACUAUCUCCAAACAUAACUGGCGAAGGUCCUCGGCUAACUCCUGAGGUAACUCUCCUGUCAUGAGGGUGUUGAUAUGACUCUUGCGGCUCAACGUGUCUGCUACUACGUUAGCCUUUCCAGGGUGAUAAUGCAAUCUCAUAUCAUAAUCCUUAAUGAGCUCCAACCAUCUCUGCUGUCUGAGAUUUAACUCCUUCUGCGUGAAAAUGUACUUCAAACUCUUGUGAUCCGUGUACACCUCACAAUGGUUUCCGAUGAGAAAAUGUCUCCAUGUCUUCAAUGCAUGCACCACGGCUGCUAACUCCAAAUCAUGCGUAGCAUAAUUCUUCUCAUGGGGUUUAAGUUGUCGUGAAGCAUAUGACACAACUCUUCCUUCCUGCAUAAGCACUGCGCCAAGUCCUCGACGAGAAGCGUCGCAAUAAACUUCAUAGUCUUUGCGUUGAUUGGGCAGAAUCAACACUGGUGAUGUAACCAAUCGUUUCUUCAACUCUUGGAAACUAGCUUCACAUUCCUCAGUCCAAUUGAAUUUGGUGUCCUUCUUCAAUAGCCCAGUCAUGGGCUUAGCAAUCUUCGAGAAAUUCGAGAUGAAUCUCCGGUAGUAUCCUGCAAGUCCAAGAAAACUCCGGAUUUCUCCAACUGUCGUGGGUGAUUCCCAACUUGUCACUGUGUCAACCUUGGCAGGGUCUACUGCUAUUCCUUCUCCAGAAAUAACAUGUCCAAGGAAUCCAACUUCCUUCAGCCAAAACUCACAUUUGCUGAACUUGGCGUAUAAUUGAUGUUCUCUGAGCUUCUCAAGUACCAAUCGUAAAUGCUCCUCAUGCUCUUCCUCAUCCUUGGAAAAGAUUAAAAUAUCAUCAAUGAAUACCACGACGAACUUAUCCAAAAACUCCGUAAACACUUUGUUCAUCAGGUUCAUGAAAUAGGCAGGUGUGUUAGUCAGACCAAAUGACAUAACGGUAUACUCAUACAAUCCAUAUCUGGUGGUAAAUGCCGUCUUGGGUAUAUCCUGCUCUCGAAUCUUUAACUGAUGGUAUCCUGAUCGUAGAUCGAUCUUGGAAAAUACUUUAGCUCCUUGUAAACGGUCAAACAAAUCAUUGAUCAUCGGCAGUGGGUACUUGUUUUUGAUGGUCACUUCAUUCAAUCCUCGGUAAUCAACAACCAUCCUCAGCGAUCAAUCUUUCUUCUCCACUAGAAGUACUGGUGAUCCCCAAGGUGACGAACUUGGGCGAAUAUAGCCUUUAUCCAGUAACUCCUUGAUCUGCUUCUUAAUUUCCUCCAAAUCCUUUGCGGGCAUCCGGUAUGGUCUCUUAGAUAUUGGCCCUGUGCCUGGCAAAAGUUCAAUCAAGAACUCAAUGUCUCUAUCUGGUGGCAUCCCUGGCAACUCUUCUGGAAAUACAUCCGGAUAAUCCUUCACCCCUGGUACUUCCUCCUGUACAACUCCUAAUAAGGAAUUUACUUGAGUCCUCUUCGGCAUAUGUCGGGAUACAUACUUGAUCCUUUUCCCUUCCGGGGUGGUAAGCAAAAUCGUCUUGCUGGCACAAUCGAUGUUUCCUCCAUACAACGAUAGCCAAUCCAUUCCCAAAAUCACAUCCAAACCUUGCGAUUCCAAAACAAUGAGGUCUGAGGGGAAAACAUGCCUACCAAUGGCCAAUGGUAUAUGAAAACAUCCUUGGGUGGCCAUAUACUCUGCUCCUGGCGAGGUUACUAACAUAGGGGUUCUGAGAACUUUGGUGGACAUCUUAAACUUGUUCACGAAUCCCCUUGAUAUGUAUGAAUGCGAUGCACCAGUAUCGAAAAAAAGAACGGUUGCAGUAAAUGACUUAACCAAAAACUUACCUAUUACUGCAUCAGGCUGAGCUUCAAUCUCCUCCACGCUCACGUGGUUCACAUGUCCUUUGUUGAACGGAUUCGGCUUCUUCCCAGAGCUUCCAUUGCCAUUUCCAUUUUGGUCUUCAGGACAUUCAUUGGCAUAGUGUCCAUUCUUCUGACACUUAAAACAAGUGACUUGGCUCAGGUCCCUCUUGGCUGGGGUAGAUGGGUUGGUGCGGUUCUGUCCGUUGCUUCCUCCAUUCCCAUUACCAUUUUUAGAGCCAUUAUGGUUGUGCGAACUACCUCCUCCAUGGGUAUGCUGAAACUGUCCUCCCGGCUUCGGGGUAAAUCGGGGCUUCUGCUGAGCUCCUGAGUUAUACUUCCCUUGUCCAUACUUCCUCUUACGGUUUUCAAUCUGCUGUUGCUUCCCUUCAAUCAUGAGAGCUCUAUCUACCAGCUCCUGGUAGUUGUUGAAGGUUGCUACCAUCAACUGCAUACUCAGUUCAACAUUCAGUCCUUCCAAAACCUUCUCCUGCUUGGCUGCAUCUGUAGCAACGUCAUCUGGUGCAUAACGUGCUAACUUACUGAAUUCCUCCACAUACUGGCCUAUGGUGCGUCCUCCUUGGCGUAGGUUGCGAAACUCGAGCUUCUUCAUAGCCAUAGCUCCUGCUGAAACAUGUGUUGUACGGAAAGCUUGCUGAAACUGGUCCCAUGUGACAGUGUCAAUAGGGUGUCUGGCUGUAUAAUUCUCCCACCAUGAUGCUGCGGGUCCAUCAAGCUGAUGUGCGGCAAAACGCACUCUUUCCGCAUCUGUGCAUCCUGCAGUGGUCAACUCCCUUCCAACUUUGCGGAGCCAAUCAUCUGCAACAAUCGGCUCGGUGCUACUGGAAAACACCAGCGGGUUUAGCCUUAAGAAACGGGCUAAGUGGUCAACAGGUGGUGGUGGCGGUGGGUUGUUGUUGUUGUUGUUGUUGCCUUGGUUCUGCACUAACACUUGCAUCAGGGCAUUCUGUUGCUGAAUCAACUGGGUGAUCUCUGGCGGGAAAACAAAUCCGGUGUUGCGUCUCGGAGGCAUCUGAUAGGUUUAGAAAAGAUGAGAGUUAAGAAUAGAAUGAGGUCUAGAGAGAAAACACUACCCAUAUGCUCAUGAGACAAAUCAAUCAAUAUCACUCAAUCAAUUCAAACAAGGCAAAACGAUCGAUCUACUAGCGUUACAAAGUGCUUGAACUAUUCUAUUAAAUGGGGGAAAACUACUACUGGUAUGGUGGUCUACUAGAAAUUCUGAUCCGAUGAAGACUCCAUGAUGUCUGCUCCAGCUUCGUCAACCCAGUCAUCUUCACUUGGUUCCGAGUCAGUGUCGUCGAUGAUGAUGUAGUCAUCCGGACAAGUGCAUUCGUCGACUUCUGCUUUUGGCACUGGAUUUCCCAUGAAUGCUCCAAUCUUAUUCUCCAGGUCGUCAUUCUUCCCUACUAGUGCGUUGAUUUCCUCCAAAUAAUCUUCGCGUGUAGCCUUGAGUUCUUCUUGGAGUUCCUUGAUCUUCGUUAAUGCCUUCUUCAGUUCUUCCUUGUCCGUGCACAUCUGGUUCUCCUGGCGACGAAUAUGUUGGUUCUGCUCCUGGAUAAAAGCUGCAAUUGAUCCAUCCUUCUUGGUCUUGAUCAUCUCCCAUUGUGCGUCUCGGCGUCCACAAAUUUGGUAAAUUGUAUCCUUAAGCUCCUGGUGAUAGACUUCUCCAAUGCGUCCCAUGGUGAUGUGUGCGGCCAUGCUCUUCCCUAAACUCCAAGUUGGUGCUUCAAAAACCAAUCUUAUGGGUUCAGUAACUGGCACAAAUGUCCUUCCUGGAAUGAUAACUUAAAUCUUCCAGCUCUCCUCUUCGGGUAAUGUGGCGUUGUAGGUUCCGGUGAUGCUUGGUAUUCCUAUGUUCAAGUACUUGGUGAAUUCCUUCAAUUGUCGACCAAACGGCGUGUCUUCAUCUGGUUGCAUGAACUUGCUCCUUGCAUUCGCCAUUCCUAAAAGAGUAGAAAGUGGAGAGGGGUCAGAAAUGAGAAGAGAGAAACUUUCUAGGGCUUAAGCUUAGUGGUCGUGUCCUACAGUCAGCGUGUGCUCUGAUACCAAAUUUGUAGCGACAAGACCUCAAAUGGUCUGUGCUGCUGUGCACCAGUGUCAUCCCUGGAUCAGUAAUGCUGACACGCAUAGUACAAAUGGACGAUUUAUAACAGAGUAGCAAUCACACACUCAUUACAUCGAAUAUCUCCAAAGAGAUUAAGUAUGAUAAACAUGGCUUAAGGCCAUCUAAUAACGAUAACAGCGGAAGACUUGGAAUAUAAGUGAGUCCAUCAACUCCAGCGGAAACACUGAGUAUAAGACCACGACCUAAGGCACCUUACUCGUCGUCUGAAAAGUCUGCAACAUGAAACGUUGCAGCCCGAAAACGGGUCAGCACAUAGGAUAUGCUGGCAAUGUAACACAUAGAGAGUAAUGAACAAUGACAAUGCUAUACUACAUGCAUAUAUGGCUGGUGGAAAGCUCUAUGGUUACAGUUUUGCGAAAAGCCAAUUUUAUCCUACUUCGAAGGAAUAAAUUUUAUUUAACUAUCAUGGUGGUUGUGAAACAUUGAGAUGGUUGACAGCAUCUCAAUCCCAAUUAAAUGUCAUCAAUAACCCAACAAAAUUAAUUAGAAGUAACAUAAUGAUGAGAUUCACAUGAUAAUCCAAGUACUAGAUACUCAAGUUGUCCAUAACCGGGGACACGGCUAACCAUGAUUAGUUUGUACACUCUGCAGAGGUUUGUGCACUUUUCCCCACAAGACUUGAUCUCCUCCGUUGAAUUACUCGCACUACAUGGUGUUUGAGUAACGGAUGACCAAGACACAGUCUUUUAGAAGUGUUUGCACCUUACGUAUGGGUAGACAGUUACACCUACUUUCCCCUACAUCUGCUAGUCUACCACUGUAAGAGUUCACACAACUUAGUCAACUAUGCUAGAGCCCAUAAUAGCUUGCGGCUGCACACAGAAGUUUCUAGCAUGAAUAAUCUUAUGGUCCCUUUGAACCUGGGUGGCGGUCCAAAAGAAAAACAGGCAAUCCUGGAAUACCCAGGUACCUCAAUCCACCCAGAUGUGAGUUUUAGUUGCCACCUUAAGUAGACCAUUAAUUAACAAUCUCACAUCUGUCAUGAAAAUCUCUCAAACCCAAUCCACGUCUACGGGCAUAGCAUGGCAAUAAUAAUAGCAAACGUAGAAGUAACUCCCAAGGGUUUGAUAAUAAUACAGGUAAUAGGUUCUACCUCAACUACUUCCCAAAACCCACAAUUUAAUUAGAUCCUAAUCAUGCAAGUGUUUGAGGAAAACAGAUCUAAUGCAAUAAAAACUGGGUAUGGAAGGAAUAUGAUCAAAGUGUUACUUGCCUUGCUGAUGAUCCGCAAAACCUAGCGAUUCGAAGUAACAAGCGGCACACUCCGGGUACUCUAUCGCAAACAAACAAGCAUACAAUCAGUACUCAUCUAAUGCACAGGUAAAACUCGAAUGAAAGAUNNNNNNNNNNNNNNNNNNNNNNNNNNNNNNNNNNNNNNNNNNNNNNNNNNNNNNNNNNNNNNNNNNNNNNNNNNNNNNNNNNNNNNNNNNNNNNNNNNNNNNNNNNNNNNNNNNNNNNNNNNNNNNNNNNNNNNNNNNNNNNNNNNNNNNNNNNNNNNNNNNNNNNNNNNNNNNNNNNNNNNNNNNNNNNNNNNNNNNNNNNNNNNNNNNNNNNNNNNNNNNNNNNNNNNNNNNNNNNNNNNNNNNNNNNNNNNNNNNNNNNNNNNNNNNNNNNNNNNNNNNNNNNNNNNNNNNNNNNNNNNNNNNNNNNNNNNNNNNNNNNNNNNNNNNNNNNNNNNNNNNNNNNNNNNNNNNNNNNNNNNNNNNNNNNNNNNNNNNNNNNNNNNNNNNNNNNNNNNNNNNNNNNNNNNNNNNNNNNNNNNNNNNNNNNNNNNNNNNNNNNNNNNNNNNNNNNNNNNNNNNNNNNNNNNNNNNNNNNNNNNNNNNNNNNNNNNNNNNNNNNNNNNNNNNNNNNNNNNNNNNNNNNNNNNNNNNNNNNNNNNNNNNNNNNNNNNNNNNNNNNNNNNNNGCGGCGGCGAGGCGAGUGCGGGCGGCGGCGGCGACUUGAUGAGAGGAGGGAGAGAGGGGGGGUAUAAAUAGGAAGGGGGGGCAGCAGCUUGGGGGAGGGGGCAAGGUGCGGCGGCGGGGCUUCCCGUGUCCGCCAUGGACACGGCGACGGCGGCGUCGUGCGGGGAGAGGAGAGGGGCACGGGUGGGCCGGCGGCCUGGGCUCGGCCCAGCGGGCGCGCGCGUCCUUUUUUUUAAAAUAAGUUCCGCGGAAAAUAAUUCACAGAAAAAUAAAUAAAAAUCAGAAAAAUAUAAAAUAAAUUUUCCCCGUCUAGCUAGAAAAUGUAGAAUAGGGUGAACAUUUUUUUAACACAAAAUAAAUAUUUUGAAAACAUGCAAUAUUUUUAAUGCAAUAAAAAUUGCAAAUAAAAUCCAAAUAAUUCCAAUAAAUGAUUUUAACAUUUUUCCUCCAGUAUUUCAAUUGUUUUGGAGAAGUCAUAUUUUCUCCUCUCGUUUAUUUUUAAAAUGAAAUAUUUUCCGGAGAGAAAAUAAUUAAAACCAAAAUCCUCGUCUUAUUAUUUGAUGAAAAUCAAAUAUGAAAAUUUUGAGAAAAAUCCCCAACUCUCUCCAAGGGUCCUUGAGUUGCUUAGGAUUUAUCGAGGAUUUGUCAAAAUGCGAUAAAACAUGUAUGCAGUGAUGAUCUAUGUAUAACAUUCCAAAUUAAAAAUUUGGGAUGUUACAAACUAGUUGUUUUACUAACCAUCAACAAUUGAUGCUCCUACUUGAUUUCUACUUUCGCGGUGUCAAACAUCGCGAGUUGCUCAAGGAUCAUCAUGUCUAUCGCUGAUAUGUUAUAGUUUAUCACGAAGCUCUAAUAGCUUGGUGUCAGUGACUAUGGAGAACCAUCACUAUCUCAUCUGGAAGAUUAACUCCCACUCGAUUCAAGCGAUUGUAGUACUCAGACAAUCUGAGCACAUGCUCAACGAUUGAGCUUUUCUCCCUUAGUUUGCAGGCUUAAGAAACUUGUCAGAGGUCUCAUACCUCUUGACGUGGGCACUAGUCUGAAAUCCCAAUUUCAGUCUUUGGAACAUCUCAUAUGUUCUGCGACGUUUCAAAACCGUCUUUGGUGCCACAAUUUUAAACCGUUAGCAUCACACACUGAACUAUCACGUAGUCAUCAAAAUGUGUAUGUCAGAUGUUUCGCAACAUCUACAGACGACGCUCGAGGUUCAGCACACCGAGCGGUGCAUUAAGGACAUAAGCCUUCUGUGCAGCAAUGAGGACAAUCCUCAGUUUACGGACCCAGUCCGCAUAAUUGCAACUAUCAAAUUUCAACUAAAUUUUCUCUAGGAACAUAUCUUAGUAGAACUAAAGCAGAAGCUACGACAUAAUUUGCAAAGACCUUUUGACUAUGUUCAUGAUAAUUAAGUUCAUCUAAUCAAAUUAUUUAAUGAACUCCCACUCAGAUAGACAUCCCUCUAGUCAUCUAUGUGAUACAUGAUCCGAGUCAACUAGGCUGUGUCCGAUCAUCACGUGAGACGGACUAGUCAUCAUCGGUGAACAUCUCCAUGUUGAUCGUAUCUACUAUACGACUCAUGUUCGACCUUUCGGUCUCUUGUGUUCCGAGGCCAUGUCUGUACAUGCUAGGCUCGUCAAGUCAACCUAAGUGUUUCGCAUGUGUAAAUCUGGCUUACACCCGUUCUAUGCGAACGUUAGAAUCUAUCACACCCGAUCAUCACGUGGUGCUUCGAAACAACGAACCUUCGCAAUGGUGCAUAGUUAGGGGGAACACAUCUCUUGAAAUUUUAGUGAGGGAUCAUCUUAUUUAUGCUACCGUCGUUCUAAGCAAAUAAGAUGUAAACAUGACAAACAUCACAUGCAAAUCAUAAAGUGACAUGAUAUGGCCAAUAUCAUCUUGCGCCUUUGGAUCUCCAUCUUCGAGGCGCGGCAUGAUCACCUUCGUCACCGGGAUGACACCAUGAUCUCCAUCAUCAUGAUCUCCAUCAUCGUGUCUUCAUGAAGUUGUCUCGCCAAAUAUUACUUCUACUACUAUGGCUAACAGUUAGCAAUAAAGUAAAGUAAUUACAUGGCGUUUUUCAUUGACACGCAGGUCACACAAUAAAUUAAGACAACUCCUAUGGCUCCUGCCGGUUGUCAUACUCAUCGACAUGCAAGUCGUGAUUCCUAUUACAAGAACAUGAUCAAUCUCAUACAUCACAUAUAUAUAAUUCAUCACAUCCUUUUGGCCAUAUCACAUCACAUAGCAUACCCUGCAAAAACAAGUUAGACGUCCUCUAAUUGUUGUUGCAUGUUUUACGUGGCUGCUAUGGGUUUCUAGCAAGAACGUUUCUUACCUACACAAAAGCCACAACGGUGAUAUGCCAAUUGCUAUUUACCCUUCAUAAGGACCCUCUUCAUCGAAUCCGAUCCGACUAAAGUGGGAGAGACAGACACCCGCUAGCCACCUUAUGCAUCAAGUGCAUGUCAGUCGGUGGAACCUGUCUCACGUAAAUGUACGUGUAAGGUCGGUCCAGGCCGCUUCAUCCCACAAUGCCGCCGAAUCAAGAUAAGACUAGUAACAGUAAGCAAAUUGAACAAAUCAUCGCCCACAACUACUUUGUGUUCUACUCGUGCAUAGAAUCUACGCAUAGACCUAGCUCAUGAUGCCACUGUUGGGGAACGUAGCAAUAAUUCAAAAUUUUCUUACGUGUCACCAAGAUCAAUCUAGGAGAUUCUAGCAACGAGAGAGAGGGAGUGCAUCUUCAUACCCUUGAAGAUCGCUAAGCGGAAGCGUUACAAGAACGCGGUCGAUGGAGUCGUACUCGCAGCGAUUCAAAUCGCGGAAGUUCCGAUCUAGCGCCGAAUGGACGGCGCCUCCGCGUUCAACACACGUACAGCCCGGGGACGUCUCCUCCUCCCUCAUCCAGCAAGGGGAGAGGAGAAGUUGAGGGAGAACUCCAGCAGCACGACGGCGUGGUGGCAAUGGAGCUCGUGGUUCUCCGGCAGGGCUUCGCCAAGCACUAUGGAGGAGGAGGAGGUGUAUGAGGAGGGAGGGCUGCGCCAGGGAAGAGGUGCGGCUGCCCUCCCACCCCUCCACUAUAUAUAGGGGCAAGGGGAGAGGGGGAGGCGCCCUAGGGUUUCCCCUAGGGGCGGCGGCAAAGCAGAUUGAAUCUCCCUAGGGAAAAUCCUAGGGAGACUUGCCCCCCAAGCCAAGCAGGUGGAGGCUUGCCUCCCAAGCCAGGUGGUGGCGCCCCACCUCCCCGAGUAACGUGGGAAAGGGUGUGGGGGGCGCACCACCCCUUAGUGGGCUGGUUUGCCCCUUCUCCUUUGGCCCAUGAGGCCCUCCAACACUUGCCGGGGCUCCCGAAACACCUUUCGGUCAUGCUGGCCAUAGCCUGGUACCCCCGGAACACUUCCGGACUCCAAUACCCUUCGUCCAAUAUAUCGAUCUUCACCGCCGGACCAUUCCGGAAAUCCUCGUGAUGUCCGGGAUCUCAUCCGGGACUCCGAACAACCUUCGGUAACCACAUACUAUUUCCCAUAACAACUCUAGCGUCACCGAACCUUAAGUGUGUAGACCCUACGGGUUCGGGAACCAUGUAGACAUGACCGAGACACCUCUCCGGCCAAUAACCAAUAGCGGGAUCUGGAUACCCAUAUUGGCUCCCACAUGUUCCACGAUGACCUCAUCGGAUGAACCACGAUGUCGGGGAUUCAAUCAAUCCCGUAUUCAAUUCCCUUUGUCUAUCGGUAUGUUACAUGCCCGAGAUUCGAUCGUCGGUAUCCCCAUACCUCGUUCAAUCUUGUUACCGGCAAGUCUCUUUACUCGUUCCGUAACGCAUGAUCCCAUGGCUAACUCAUUAGUCACAUUGAGCUCAUUAUGAUGAUGCAUUACCGAGUGGGCCCAGAGAUACCUCUCCGUCAUACGGAGUGACAAAUUCCAGUCUCGAUUCAUGCCAACUCAACAGACACUUUCGGAGAUACCUGUAGUGCACCUUUAUAGCCACCCAGUUACGUUGUGAUGUUUGGUACACCCAAAGCAUUUCUACGGUAUCCGGGAGUUGCACAAUCUCAUGGUCUAAGGAAACGAUACUUGACAUUAGAAAAGCUCUUAGCAAACAAACUACACGAUCUUGUGCUAUGCUUAGGAUUGGGCCGUUUCCAUCACAUCAUUCUCCUAAUGAUGUGAUCCCAUUAUCAAUGACAUCCAAUGUCCAUGGUCAGGAAACCAUAACCAUCUAUUGAUCAACGAGCUAGUCAACUAGAGGCUUACUAGGGACAUGUUAUAGUCUAUGUAUUCACACAUGUAUUAUGGUUUCCAGUUAAUACAAUUAUAGCAUGAACAGUAGACAAUUAUCAUGAACAAGGAAAUACAAUAAUAACCAUUUUAUUAUUGCCUCUAGGGCAUAUUUCCAAUAGCUAUGACUUUGCUAUGCUUAACGCUUGUCACUAGGGCCCGAGUGCCAUGAUUUCAGAUUUGAACCUAUUAUGUUUUCAUGAAUAUAUGUGAGUUCUUGAUCAUAUCUUGCAAGUCUAAAGUCGCCUACUAUGUGUUAUGAUCCGGCAACCACGAAGUGACAAUAAUCGGGACCACUCCCGGUGAUGACCAUAGUUUGAGGAGUUCAUGUAUUCAGUAUGUGUUAAUGCUUUGGUCCGGUACUCUAUUAAAAGGAGGCCUUAAUAUCCCUUAGUUUCCGCUAGGACCCCGCUGCCACGGGAGGGUAGGACAAAAGAUGUCAUGCAAGUUCUUUUCCAUAAGCACAUAUGACUAUAUUCGGAAUACGUGCCUACAUUACAUUGAUGAAUUGGACCUAGUUCUGUGUCACCCUAUGUUAUGAUUGUUACAUGAUGAACCGCAUCCGGCAUAAUUCUCCAUCACUGAUCCAAUGCCUACGAGCUUUUCACAUAUUGUUCUUCGCUGAUUUACUUUUCCAUUGGUACUGUUACAAUCACUACAAAACCCAAAAAUAUUACUUUUGCUACCGUUACCGUUACUUCCAUACUACUUUGCUACUAAAUACUUUGCUGCAGAUACUAAGUUAUCCAGGUGUGGUUGAAUUAACAACUCAACUGCUAAUUAUUGAGAAUAUUCUUUGGCUCCCCUUGUGUCGAAUCAAUAAAUUUGGGUUGAAUACUCUACCCUCGAAAACUGUUGCGAUCCCCUAAACUUGUGGGUUAUGAAGACUAUUUUCCGGUGCCGUUGCCGGGGAGCAUAGCUCUAUUCUUUGAGUUACUUGGGAUUUAUAUCUGCUGGUCACUAUUAAGAACAUGAAACACGACAAACAAAAAUUUAUCCCUCAACUACGAGGGGAGGUAAGGAACUGCCAUCUAGCUCUGCACUUGAUUCACCUUCUGUUUUGAAUAAGCUUGCGACACCUAAACCUGCUUCUGCUAUUAAUUCUGAUAUGUUGCAUGUUAUUGAUGAUGCCACUUCUGUUAUGCAUGAUACUUAUGAUCAAACUACUUCUAUGCUUGAUACUAAUGUGUCACUUUGUGAAUUUCUUGAUGAACAACUUGCUAGGGCUAGAGAGAAUGAAAUUACUGAAACUGAUAAUAUUGAUGAAAGUGAUGAUGUAGACUCUCCCCCUAAAUAUGAAUUGCCUAUUGUGCCUGAGGGCUAUGUUAUGGAUGAAGAAACUGCUAGAGACUUUCUUGCUUUCAAUGAUAAAAGUGAUCUUAAGAAAUUAUUAGUUAAGUUGAAACAAAAAACUCUGAAUGCUAGAAUGAAAUAUGAUCCUGCUUAUGCUACUUCACCUAUCUUUGUUACUGAUAAAGAUUAUGAAUUCUCCGUUGAUCCUGAUAUAAUUACUUUGGUUGAGUCUGAUCCUUUUUAUGGCUAUGAAUCUGAAACUGUUGUGGCACAUCUUACUAAAUUAAAUGAUAUAGCCACCCUGUUCACUAAUGAUGAGAAAACUCGCUAUUACUAUAUCCUUAAAAUAUUUCCGUUCACAUUAAAGGGUGAUGCUAAGAUAUGGUUUAGUUCUCUUGAUCCUGGUUGUGUGCGUAGUCCCUAGGAUAUGAUUUAUUACUUCUCUGCUAAAUAUUUCCCCGCUCAUAAGAAACAAGCUGCUUUAAGGGAAAUAUAUAAUUUUGUGCAAAUUGAAGAAGAGAGUCUCCCACAAGCUUGGGUGAGGCUUCUCCAAUUACUUAAUGCUUUGCCUGAUCAUCUUCUCAAGAAAAAUGAAAUACUUGAUAUCUUUUAUAAUGGACUAACCGAUGCUUCGAGAGACCACCUGGAUACUUGUGCUGGUUCUGUUUUCAGGGAAAGAACACCAGAUGAAGCUGAAAUUCUAUUGAAUAAUAUGUUGACCAAUGAAAAUAAUUGGACACUUCCUGAUCCAACUCCUAAGCCAACUCCGAAGAAAAGGGGUGUUCUAUUUCUCAGUCCUGAAGAUAUGCAAGAGGCAAAGAAAUCUAUGAAAGAAAAGGGUAUUAAAGCUGAAUAUGUUAAGAAUUUACAUCCUAUUGAAGAAAUACAUGGUCUUAAUUUACCGCCUGUUGAAGAAUUAUAUGGUCUUAAUUAAUCACCUAUUGAAGAAACACAUGGUCUUGAUAACCCGACACAGGUAGUAAAGGUAAAUUCUCUCUAUAGAUAUGAUAAAGCUGAUAUCCGUCCUACUAAGUUUGCUAGCCAAUGUUUGGAUGAGUUUGAGAACUUUAUGGUUAAGCAAGAAGAUUGUAAUGCUUAUUUUGGUAGACAAUUUAAACAAAAUGCUUAUAUGAUUGAACACUUGGGUGAUUAUAUGUCUAGAGUUAAAGGUGAACUUAAGCUCAUUAGUAAACAUGCUUCUAUGGUUACCACUCAAGUAGAACAAGUACUUAAAGCUCAGAAUGAUUUGCUCAAUGAAUUGAAUAAUAAGAAUAAUGAGUAUGCUGUUAGAGUGGCUACUAGAACUGGUAAAAUGACUCAGGAACCUUUGUAUCCUGAAGGCCAUCCUAAGUGAAUUGAGCAAGAUUCUCAGAGAAAUAAUGUAGAUGCACCUAGUCCUUCUAAAAAGAAGAAAAAGAAAAAAACGAGAGGGCUUUGCAUGCUUCUAGUGAACCUGUUGCUGAAAUGCCUGAGAAUCCAAAUGAUAUUUCUAUUUCUAAUGCUGAAACACAAUCUGGUAAUGAACAUGAACCUAGUGAUAAUGUUAAUGAUAAUGUUCAUAAUGAUGCUCAACCUAGCAAUGAUAAUGAUGUAGAAGUUGAACCUGCUGUUGAUCUUGAUAACCCACAAUCAAAGAAUCAACGUUAUGAUAAGAGAGACUUUGUUGCUAGAAAGCACAGUAAAGAAAGAGAACCAUGGGUUCAGAAACCCAUCCCUUUUCCUCCUAAACCAUCGAAGAAAAAGGAUGAUGAGGAUUUUGAGCGCUUUGCUGAAAUGAUUAGACCUAUCUUUUUGCGUAUGCGAUUAACUGAUAUGCUUAAAAUGAAUCCUUAUGCUAAAUAUAUGAAAGAAAUUGUUACAAAUAAAAGAAAGAUACUGGAAGCUGAAAUUUCCACCAUGCUUGCUAAUUAUACUUUUAAGGGUGGAAUACCUAAGAAACUUGGAGAUCCAGGAGUACCAACUAUACCAUGCUCCAUUAAAAGAAAUUAUGUUAGAACUGUUUAUGUGAUCAUGGAGCCGGUGUUAGUGUUAUGCCUCUCUCCUUAUAUUGUAGACUUGAUUUGAAUAAGUUGACACCUACUGAAAUAUCUUUGCAAAUGGCUGAUAAAUCAACUGCUAUACCUGCCGGUAUUUGCGAGGAUGUGCCUGUUGCGGUUGCAAACGCUACUAUUUUAACGGACUUUGUUAUUCUUGAUAUUCCCGAGGACGAUAGUACGUCUAUUAUUCUUGGAAGACCCUUUUUGAAUACUGCAGGGGCUGUUAUUGACUGCAACAAAGGCAAUGUCACUUUUCCUGUUAAUGGUAACGAGCAUACGGUACACUUUCCGAGGAGGCAACCUCAAGUUCAUAGUAUAAAUUCUAUUGGAAAAAUUCCAUCGAUUAUUAUUGGAGGUUUUGAAUUUCGUCUUCCUACUGCCAAGAAGAAAUAUGAUAUUCUUAUUAUUGGGGAGUGCAUAUCCCCGUUGAGGUAACAUAGUGUUAUUCGAAAUUUCUCCGGUUCCAUGUUAUUCAAAAUGAGUUUGUUAACAAGACCUGAUCAACCUUGUUAGUGGAUUCCUUUUGAUGAGCAUGAGAUGGAUGCAAUUAGAAGGCACAACCUUCUAUACCCUCUCCCUACUUUCUGUUAUUUAGUCGAAAUAAAGUAAAAGUAGUAAUUUUUUUGUCUGUUUUCUGAAUUAUCCGUGCAAUAUAAAAAUACCCCGAAAAUAAAAGUUCUCCAAAUGCCCUGAGAUUGAAAUACGAUUUUUUCUGGAAUAUUUGAGAAUAUCUGGCACUGAGAACACAGCAGGGGGAGCAAGCACCUAGGCACGAGGGUCCAGGGCGCGCCGACCCCCCUGGGCGCGCCCCCCUGCCUCAUGGGCCCACGGUGGCUCCCCUCCACUUAUUCCUGCACCCACACACUUCUUCUUCCUCCCAAAAAAUCACCAUCCAGCUCAAGCACGAGUUCUAGCUCAUUUUGCUGCGAUUUUCGAUCUCCUUGCUCAAAGCACCUCUCACAAAACUGCUUUGGGGGAUUGUUCCUUGGUAUGUGACUCCUCCAUUGGUCCAAUUGGUUUUUGCUCUAGUGCUCUAUUCAUUGAAAAUUUGUGCUGCCUAGGUGACCAUGUUCUUGAGCUUGCAUGUCACAUUUAUAUGGUUCCAAGUAGUUCUAAUGCAUCAUAUAGGCUCGAGGCACUUGUAGAAGUAGUUGUUAUCCAUUUUGUUGAUCUUGAUUCACUUUUAUUUGAAGUUACUAAAAAUUUCAGAAAUUUUCAAAAAAUGAUGAAGAUAUUUUUAAGGGACUCAUCGAGCCGAAGCUCGAAGGAAAAACAAAGUGAAGAAGAAGAGAGGCCCAAAUAUAAUCUGCCUCGCACCACGGAGGUUCGGCCGUGUGAAUGGCCUUGAGAUGAUUUAUUAAGAGCAGCCGGGAUUUAUGAUUAUUUUUAUGAGUUGGCUGAGUGCAGGCCUCACCGACUUCCUCCGUGACCAACGCGAAUAGUAUCUCUUACUCAACAAUACCUUGGUGCAAGAUUUUCAUUCCAUUCUAGGAGGUCACCACAUACGGUGGAUUUUUAUUUAUAUGGUGAGUAUAAGGAGAUGACCCUUCGUGAAUUCUAUAGAGUUUGCAAGUUACCUUUUCCAGGUAUCAUAGAGAACCACAUAGUAAUGAUGUGGAGGGGUUUAUUGAUACAAUUGCUGUAGGGGAAACGAGGAAAGUUUUUGAUGCACGAAUCACUAGCAUACAUUUUCCUGUUCUACGUUACUUUGCUAUAUUUGCUAGUAGAUGCUUAAUUGGUCGCGGAAACUGUGGAAACCUGAGUGUCCCUGAUAUUAUUAUUUUGUUCCAUGCCUUGUUUCGAGAUGACACAUUUAGUAUGGGCGCUAUCGUUGCAAGGCGGUUAAAUCUUAACCGUAGUAAGGGCCCCAUCUUGGGAGGCAUCUUCGCCUUGCGCCUCGCUGCACAUUAUAACAUACCUAUUAGGCACUAUGAGAAAGAAGAAAAGUUGUUGCCUACUGUUUUUCUAGGCUAUAAGAGUAUGGUAGCACACGAUUUUAUUGUUAAGAAUAGGGAAAGGGAGCUUAAAUACAAACUGUUAUUUGAUAAAAAUCACCCAGAGACUAUUACCUUGCCUGCUCCUUCCUUGUUUGAUUUGUCUGCACGCAAGUAUCUCGUUCCGCUGGUGGCCAUCCACGCCUACCAGAACUGUACAUCAGCCACAGAGCCAGAGCCGGAACCACAAUUUGAUCCUCCAUGAUAGUCUAAUUACCAGUGGGAUCCAGAGGCGAUUGCCAACCAGUGGCAAUACGAGGCUUCUUCUCAGUACGUCCCCAACUACAACUAUGGAUAUCCGCCAGGCCAGCUGUGGCAAUAGACCAACUCAGGCCAAAAGCCUAAGCUUGGGGGAGUACGUAUUUCUCACCGACAUUACAUUUAUGUUCACACACUCAUUGCUAGAUGUCGGUGCUCAUACUUUUUCACUGUAAUAUCCAUGCUAGUUUAUUUUCCUUUUUAUGCUUUCUUCUUGUAUGUUUGAUAAACCUUAAGAAAAACAAAAAAAAAUAGUAGUAGCUUUUAGCUAAUUUACUUUUCUUGCUGUAGUAGUAGUAAUUAAUAAGAAAACCCAAAAAUAUUUCCUGUUCUUCUUUUGCUUGUUGGGAGCUUUCCCGUGUAAAUAGUUUUAUUUCUUUUCUUUUCUUUGGGGGUCGAUAGGAGAAGACCAUAAUAAAAUUGUUGAAGUGACUCUUAUAUGCAUUAUUAUUGAUUUAACCAAGAGCCCAUAUUGCCUUGUCUUCUCCUGUUUGUUGAAUGCUCGCAGAUUCCAGCUUAGUCCAAUGCACGUGCACUAUUAUUAUUAUUCACAUCGUUCGGUCGUGCAAGUGAAAGGCAAUUAUGACGAUAUAUGAUAGACUGACUGAGAUGGGA